rnacentral:lncRNA from 12 species
AUGUCUGCAGAUAAGCCCAAGGUGUACCAGGGUGUGCGUGUGAAGACCACUGUUAAGGAGUUACUGCAGAAGCACAGAGCCCUGCAGGCACAGAAAACCGCAACGAAAUCACAAGCCAUGGCUGCUCGCGAUGUCUGCUCUACGACCAUGAAUACCCACCUUGAUGUCUUUGGAAUGCAAGCUCCAGAGCCCUAUUUCCAGACACGUCCCUUUACCGAAAAUGUCAAUAUCCCGAUGGAGAAUGCUUAUGAUCAUCAACAAAUGAUGCACCUGAUGCCACAUGAGACUUUCAGCGGCAGUAAUUUCGUGUGUCCCACUUCUUCGCAGUGGUCUAAUGGAUAUAUUCCUUCUAACACGGACCUCUAUGGUACUAGCCUGGUAUCGAGAUCACCCUCUGAUACUUUCAAUCUCCCAAGUCCAGUCGACUACAACAGUUACUCUCCCCCUCAGUCCAACUCUUCAUCUUCUUCGUGCUACAGCUCUCCAACGCGGAUGGAUUUGAGCUCUAGUUUCUCUCCAGAAAAUUACCACUAUCAGCAUUGCAACCUACAGAAUUGCUUUUGUCUUUCGCAUUGGUCCAAUCUGCAGGAAGGCAUGGCAACCUCGGAGUUUGCGCCCUACGGCUCUUCAGACUGUUUGUAUUCAUAUGGCGACGACAGUUAUUUCAGAAGGGAUACUUCAAACUCAGAGAUGUGUUUCUUAUAAAAUGCAUUUUGAAGCUCUUUACGCGAAAAUUCAGUGUCAUAAUUGAUUUAUUUGAAUGCAUUUGUUGUAUUUUAGAUUAGAUAAAAGAACAAGCAGUGAUAGAAUGCAUGAUUUACAAAUUAUUCAUUUAUCUUUUCUACAAUAAACAUAUUUUUUUCGUAAUUAUACUGGCAUUGGGGAAAUAUUUCAGAUUUACAGCGUGCAGUUUCUGUUUUCACUCUUGAAAUGUACAUCGGAG